rnacentral:rRNA from 1 species
CUACGGGGGGCUGCAGUGGGGAAUAUUGCACAAUGGGCGCAAGCCUGAUGCAGCCAUGCCGCGUGUAUGAAGAAGGCCUUCGGGUUGUAAAGUACUUUCAGCGGGGAGGAAGGGAGUAAAGUUAAUACCUUUGCUCAUUGACGUUACCCGCAGAAGAAGCACCGGCUAACACCGUGCCAGCGAGCCGCGGUAAUACGGAGGGUGCAAGCGUUAAUCGGAAUUACUGGGCGUAAAGCGCACGCAGGCGGUUUGUUAAGUCAGAUGUGAAAUCCCCGGGCUCAACCUGGGAACUGCAUCUGAUACUGGCAAGCUUGAGUCUCGUAGAGGGGGGUAGAAUUCCAGGUGUAGCGGUGAAAUGCGUAGAGAUCUGGAGGAAUACCGGUGGCGAAGGCGGCCCCCUGGACGAAGACUGACGCUCAGGUGCGAAAGCGUGGGGAGCAAACAGGAUUAGAUACCCGUGUAGUC